GCCCGGCUAGCUCAAUCGGUAGAGCGUGAGACUCUUAGCUUUCACGUCCUAAUCAGACUCGAUUGGUUAUCUCAAGGUUGUGGGUUCGACCCCCACGUCGGGCU
rfam:Setosphaeria turcica Et28A unplaced genomic scaffold SETTTscaffold_21, whole genome shotgun sequence.